ACUCGCUGUAAAUCAACGUGUGCAAGGUAUGACAUCUGAGCAAGUGCAGUUCAGAGAUUUGUUAUUACGACUUCGCAAAGGGGAUUCAACAGUUGAUGACUGGAAGUUACUUCUGACACGUCAACCAUCAAAUGUCACUAAUUUAUGUGAUUUUGAAGAUUCUACUAGACUCUUUUAUAGUAAUGAACAAGUUGGUAAUUACAACCAUGAGCAGCUAACAAAACUUGAGCACCCAAUUGCUCAUAUUAAUGCUCGCCAUUCAUCAGCAUUGGCCAAAAAAAUAUCCUCAGAUGAUAUGUCUGGGUUAGAACCUGUUGUGUUUCUAGCAAAAGGUGCUAGGGUCAUGUUAACAAUGAAUUUGUGGUCAAGUGUUGGCCUCUGCAAUGGGGCUACUGGAACAGUUGUUGAUAUUAUCUAUCAGAACAACCAUCAACCACCUGACUUACCUAUUGCGGUAAUAGUAGAAUUUGAAAACUAUAGAGGACCUGUUUUUAAUGAAAACCAACCAUUGUGUAUCCCAAUAUAUCCAAUCACUGUCACAUCACAGACAGAAAUAGGUUUCCAUGAGAGGCAACAGUUACCUCUUAGGCUUGCUUGGGCUCUAACAAUACACAAGAGCCAGGGACUUACACUUCCAAAAGCAUGGAUAGAUAUUGGCAAAUCUGAAAGAACUGCUGGAGUUUCUUAUGUUGCUAUUAGCAGAGUAAAAUCACUUGCAUCUUGUGUCAUUGAACCAAUGACGUAUGAACGAUUAACAAGCUUGAAAUCAUCCGCUAACUUACAAUAUAGGCUUGAAGAAGAAAACAGGCUAGAUCAGUUAGCACAGGCCACUAGCAGUGCAUUUAGAGCAACAAACUAUUGAGUUUGAAUAAGAGAGGGAUUUCAUAUAUGGAUCCCAGUUAUAGUUUGGUAUGUACUUCGACUAUAUACCCCUUUUAAAUAAUUUAAUUUAAUAUAUAAUAACUAAUUUACUCCUUGUUAUCACUGUAUGUAUGAAAAUAUUAUGAUUUGCAAGACAGAAGAAGGGUAAGUUUUUUUGUUUGUUUAACCCCUUCCCCUGCCCUACUUUUAUUUUCACACAGUUAUGUGCCACUAUGUUUCCACAUAAAUAUCUCAUGCUACCAAUUAUUUUUUCUAUAGUUUUGCAAUUCUGACGGAUGUGAAUGGUGUCAUGUUAACUGCUGGAUGAAACCGACCAAAUGGUUGUUAUAGUCAAAAUAUAAUAUGGAUAUACAAUAUGACUGUUCAUCUCAUGAAAAUGGAUAGGAGCUUCUGGAUUAACAGAAAUGUGUUUCUAUUAAAACAAGAAUGCUGGUUUACAAGAUUGGAUAUAUUACAACACAUCUAAUACAAUGGGAUAUGGAAUCUGCCGCGUAUUAUGAUAAAAUUACUGUACUUGUUUCCAAUCUACCAUAUGGAUGUCAGGAACAUUGUAUGUCUAUUAUGUCAAGAUAUUACAGUACAUACCUUUAUAUGUACAGUAACCUAACAAGUUAUUGGACAAUAUGAUGGCCAACAAUGGACACUACUUGUACAUGCUAAAUAAAUACGAAACAUCUGCAUAUUGGACAAUUAAUGGCACUGUCUUGUUUACCAAUUGGAAAAUACAGUAGACUAUUAUUACUUGGAAAGAAUAUGAAAACUUGCAACAAACUAAUCAUAUCACGUUAAAAGACAUUAUGUUUGUUCUUCCUAAUUGUGUUCUUCUAGACGUUCUGAUAAGUGAAGACAGUUUAAAACAUUGGUACCAACAAUCACAUGUGUAAAUGUGAAAAUCCGAAGUACAGUUUACAGUAUAUAAUAAUUAUUGCAUUAUUAAACAAAAUAAAUUCAUACAUACAGUGUAUUUACAGUAUAAGGCAAUUUAAAUAAAUG
rnacentral:lncRNA from 1 species